GGGGAAGUACUGUCAGGGGAGAAGCAUGUCAUGUAGCAGCCUUACAGUCUAAUUUUGUUUCAUUUUUACUGCUCUUUCAUAGCUUGUAUAAUCCUCCAGACCAUGAACUCAUCUUAAGACCAAGUGGAUAAAAGUGAACAUGAGGAUGACCAUGCAUGAAUGUUGGGACAGUUACACAGGACCCUUUGUCUGCAACAGAAAGCAGCACAUGAGGAAUUUGCACGAGCUCAGCGAGACCCAUUUGAAUGCAGCCUGGAACAUGUGGGACUUACAGUGAGGACGGCAGAGGAGAUACUUGCGUACCAAUGUUUUGUAGAGAGCCACAAAAAGUUUCUCCUCUGCCGUCCUUUCUCGUUUGUCUAUCGCACAGACACACCCAAGUAGGCGCAGUUUCACAGCAGCCCUCGGACCUACCUUGAGGACACUGACAAAACAAAUCAACAUUUAAAACUGACUUACUGAUUCUUUGUGAUCAAAAGGAGAAGAAGCCGCCUACAGGGAAACCACAGAGAACAUUUAACACGGUCCGUUCAUCAAAGGUUUAAGACUACAAAGGAGCUCAUUUGCUGACUGGGGAGAUGGAUGUGGAGAUAAAGUGGCUGAGGCGGAGACCCGAAUGAGAGAGGACAGCUACGGAGUGAAAGGGGGAGAGAAGGAGGAUGACAUGCAGCAAAGGGCCGUGGAUUAGAAUUGAGCCUACAGCCACUGCAGCAAGGACACAGCCUUUGUACAUGGGCUGCUUUACGAGGCUUCCAUUAAUGAAGAUCUGACUCCCUUUCUGUUCUCUCUCUACCACAACUGUCAGCCUCAUCCCAGACGAGGAUGACAGAGAAUACAGAGCACUGAUCCAGGGCUGGAAUCCAGUUCAGUGCAGGAAAACCCAAAAAGCUGGUGGUCUUCGUGACGGCUGACAGUAGGAGACUUAACACACUGAUAGCUCUGUCCUGGGAUGCUCCCUCGACCUGGUGGAGGUGGUGGGAGAAAGGAGAAUGAAAGCCAAGCCAACCUCUGUUAUAGACAACAUGUCCUACCCCAUGCAGGACACUGACAGCACCGGGCAGCUCCUUCACUGACAGGAGAGAUAAUGCAGAUCCUUCCUUCCUGCUGCUGUCAGACGACACAACCAACACUGCUCCCAGUGGACCACACAUACGAAAACUGUGGACAAUCACUCAUGUGCAAAAUCUGUAUCUGUAUAUACCAACUGUGAAUUAUCUAUACUUGGUGCAUGCAAUAAUGUAAAUACUGCCACUGUUUAUCAUUAUAUGUUGCUUUUAAUUUGUGCUGCUUACAAUGAAUCACUCAGGUGCAGAAUCAGUAUUGUUAAACUGUGCAAUAUCUAUAUUUCCAUCCGGUCAAUGAUGUAAAAUCAGCCACAGUCCGUCUCUUUAUUAUAUUCAGCUUCUUUUUGAUGCUUCCUUAUUCUAUUGCUUUGUGUUUUAUACUGUUUGCUGAUCACACUGCUCUGUUUUUGUACACUUUACUUAUUUAACGUACUUAUAUACUGCUUUGUAUUUUUUUCUGAUGCUUCCUGUUUGCACUCUGUCCCUUUGCUGCAAAUUUCCCCGCUGUGGGACAAAUUAAGGAUUAUCUUAUCUGAUUAUCUGUCUGAACAAAUCAUGCAGCACUCUUAUUGCAGCUUCAUUGAGAGGGGGCACAUGUCUCCCACUACUUGUUCUCCCAUCCAUCCUCUCCACCCCUGCCCUUUAACAUCACACAUUACUUUAGCCUUUAAAUAAAUCAGACUGUACAACACUUGUCAAGGUAGGGACGAGCUUGAUUUAUAUUUUCUGGAAAGCCAGUAUUUUUAAGUGAGAAGAUUUUCAUCUGAAGGCAAUAGUUGAUUACAUUUAGUGGCUUUGUUUACACGCCUGCAGUAACACCAUAACUGCUGAGAGUCUGAGUAAGACUAAAUGUGCUAAUUAUCCUCUUACGUUUGACAUGUUGUCCUUGCAAGUUUUCCAACAAACUGACACACAAAACAUGAGCUGCUGUAAUUAAACGCAUGAGCAACUUGCUCACAAUUAAAUUACUGUGAUUUGACCAGUCUUAACCUGUCUGCACGUUCGUCAGAGUGCGCCAGAUACUGGAGGUUACUGUGAUAACACUGAACUCCAGCUGAUGCAAUAAUCACAGUUGUAUAAUCAGUGUGAGGUUUAUGUGCGUCCUGCGAGCUGCUGGGAGAGGUUUGCCUACAGGGUUGCCAGGUUUGCCAGAAAGGGAUUUCUUGGUUAAGGUUAGGAAAAAAUUGUGGUUUGGGCUAAAAUGAACAAAUUUUUCUGGCAGAAAGCCCUCCAGGAAAACUUCUCCCAUGUGUAUCCUCCAACCACAUUUUUUCCCUUGUAACCUUGAUAAAAGUCCCAGUUUUACUCUCUUAAUGCAAUGUCACUCCACCCUCAUCUGUACUUUCUCUAAAUGCUUCGUCAGCUCCUGUUAGCAGCUGCUUUAUAGCUCUUGGCAUCGCUUCUGUUGCCAGGCAGUCUCUGUCUGUGAUGUAUAAAGCAUCAAACGCACAUUUACAUACACAUUCACACCCAUGCUUUACACACAGUGACGUAUGAGCUUCUGGUGUUGACACUAGCAUUUCUGCCCUGUCUGACGCCAUGACACUUAUAUUAUUGAUCAUUAGGACCCUGUGAUGAAUGAAUGGACUCCACUUUAGCUAAUUAAUCUGCGCUGCUGCAGCUGCACUCACUGUCAGUCAGCUGGCAUUAGAGUGUCGGCUGAACAGCUAAAAUCUAAACAUAGAUGAGAGAGGAUAACUGAAGGAGAAAAGAAGAGUGCGGACCAGUUGCCAGAAGAAAGUGGUGGCGUUUCUGCAAACCACGAAUAUAUUAUAUUUGCACAUAAGUACAGAUUCUCAGGUGAACAGUCAGUCUGUUUGGAAGCUGAUUCCUGAAGGAAAAAAUUAAAAGCGAUAAGGAACAAAGCCAAAGGGUCUCUGGACUGAUAGCUCAGGCUGUUAGACAACUGGUUGGAGGACCUAAGACUGUGGGUUUGAUCCUUAUCAAGGCUAAGUGAAUUGAAUUUUAAAGGCUGCU